rnacentral:RNase_P_RNA from 1 species
CGAGAGGCCUGGGCGGCCGCUUCCGGCCGCGUGCCGGGGGAGGAAAGUCCGGGCUCCACGGGUCAGGGUGGUUGCCAACGGCAACCGACCGCGAGGUCAGGGAAAGUGCCACAGAAAACAGACCGCCAACCCCCGCGGCUCGCCGUGGGGCGGCAAGGGUGAAAAGGUGCGGUAAGAGCGCACCGCGGUCCCGGUGACGGGGCCGGCAGGGCAAACCCCACCUGGAGAAAGGCCAAAUAGGGGGGCGUGGCGACGACCCGCGCCGUUCGCUCCCGGGUAGGCCGUUCGAGGUCGGGCGCGAGCUCGAUCCCAGAGAAAUGGUCGCCACCCCCGGCGCCUCGGCGCCGGGGGGACAGAAUCCGGCUUACACGGCCUCUCGCGUC